rnacentral:lncRNA from 1 species
ACCACCACAACAACAACGAUGACGAUGACGACGACAACGACUUCAACAACGACAAUGGCGACAACGACAAGAACACCGCCAACUACGACAACGACAACAACAACAACAACAACAAAAAACGAGAACAUCGACAACAACGACCACCACAACAACAACGAUGAUGACGAGGACGACAACAACAACAACAACAACAACAACAACAACAACAAAAACAACAACAACAACUACUACUACAACAACAACAACAACAACAACAACAACAACAACAACAACA